GCAGUAUCAGAUUUUGCAGUAGUAUAUAUAUGGCAUGAAAAAUAUGGAAUUUGUUUGCAUGAGCAUGUAUACUUGCAAAGCAGGGAAAAAGAAUUCAUUUUAUAACAUGUUCAACCAUGAUAAACAUGAAAUCUGUUUCCAUAGUAUGCAAAAUGUUGAUUAAGCUGCAAGAUAUAUGGUUCCAAAUUCCCAAACAUUCAGAAGGCAUAAGUGAAUUUAUAUUAGCAAACUGAACAACAACUGGUUCUUCAAAACUUGAAAUCACCAUACACAAGAUUACAGAAAGAAAGUAAGAAGGUAAAUAAGACUAUGAGAACCAAAGGGCAUAUACAUUUAAGAACAUUCAAAUGGCAUUUGUUGUAAAAUGCAGAAAAGUAAAUGUAAACGUAUUCUUUAAUCCAUAACAUUGUGUCUGCUUUGGCAUUGAGGUUGACACUUUCUUUUGACCAAG
rnacentral:misc_RNA from 1 species